UACGUAGGGUGCGAGCGUUAAUCGGAAUUACUGGGCGUAAAGCGUGCGCAGGCGGUUCGUUGUGUCGGAUGUGAAAGCCCCGGGCUCAACCUGGGAAUGGCAUUCGAAACUGGCGGGCUGGAGUGUGGCAGAGGGGGGUGGAACUCCUGGUGUAGCAGUGAAAUGCGUAGAGAUCAGGAAGAACACCGAUGGCGAAGGCAGCCCCCUGGGCCAACACUGACGCUCAGGCACGAAAGCGUGGGGAGCAAAC
rnacentral:rRNA from 1 species